rnacentral:lncRNA from 1 species
CUCACCAAACAUUAAGAAAACUUGCUACAAAAUUGUGAAACGAUAAAUUAAAUAAUGUAGCUUGUGUCACUAGAAAACUCUACACUUUAUACGAUAUGAAUAAAUAAUUGGCACACCCUUUCCCUAUUAGACUUAUCCUCCAAACUUUUAUUUCUCACAAAACUUCAAAAAACGAAACAUCAUUUCCUUAUUUGUUUUUACGCUUCAGUUUCCAUAUUCACAUGAAAGCAACGCAGAAACAAAGUGGUCUUACUAGGCCCAUAAGGCUGUGAAAGUUAAAAAAAGAAAAAGAAAAAACCAAAAUAUAAACUCAACGUGACACGUGGAAUAACACGUGGAAUCAUUGGCUACGCGGCUAUCAUCGUCCGCUAGUUUCGACACGUCAAAUGUCCACGUAAGACAGCGAAAAACAUGGGCCCCUUUUUUCUGGAGCGGAUAUCCGCUUCACAAAAGG